rnacentral:rRNA from 1 species
AGUGAACGCUGGCGGUAGGCCUAACACAUGCAAGUCGAACGGCAGCACAGUAAGAGCUUGCUCUUACGGGUGGCGAGUGGCGGACGGGUGAGGAAUACAUCGGCAUCUACUUUUUCGUGGGGGAUAACGUAGGGAAACUUACGCUAAUACCGCAUACGACCUACGGGUGAAAGCAGUGGAUCUUCGUACCUUGCGCGAUUGAAUGAGCCGAUGUCGGAUUAGCUAGUUGGCGGGGUAAAGGCCCACCAAGGCGACGAUCCGUAGCUGGUCUGAGAGGAUGAUCAGCCACACUGGAACUGAGACACGGUCCAGACUCCUACGGGAGGCAGCAGUGGGGAAUAUUGGACAAUGGGCGCAAGCCUGAUCCAGCCAUACCGCGUGGGUGAAGAAGGCCUUCGGGUUGUAAAGCCCUUUUGUUGGGAAAGAAAAGCAGCAGGUGAAUACCCCGCUGUUCUGACGGUACCCAAAGAAUAAGCACCGGCUAACUUCGUG